AGCUCCAAUAGGAUAUAUCAACGUUGUUGCAGUUGAAAAGCUCGUAGUUGAAUUUCUUUCCUGGUAAUCAAUGUAGAAUUUAGAUGUUCACCGAAUGUCAUUCUUGUUGGACAGGAAAUCAUGUGGAUUUUUACUGCUUUUAAUGCUUCAUUGUGUUAAAAGUAGCCACUCCGUUACUGAGAGCAAAACGAAUCGCUCAAAGAAAGCCUUUGGCUAUGAACGAUUAAGCUUGGAAUAACAACGAAUGACUCAUGAUAGUUGUUGGUUUCUAUUUUUUUUAAUGAGUAAUGAUUAAAAGGAACAGUAUACGCGGGGGUAUUUGUAUUGGGAAGUCAGAGGUGAAAUUCUUGGAUUUUCUCAAGACAAACGACUGCGAAAGCAUUUACCAAGGAUGUUUUCAUUA
rnacentral:rRNA from 1 species